rnacentral:piRNA from 1 species
UGCUAUCAAAUCUGCACUGUGGAGG